rnacentral:rRNA from 1 species
UAUUGCGCAAUGGGCGGAAGCCUGAUGCAGCGACGCCGCGUGAGUGAAGAAGUAUCUCGGUAUGUAAAGCUCUAUCAGCAGGGAAGAAAAUGACGGUACCUGACUAGGAAGCCCCGGCUCACUACGUGCCAGCAGCCGCGGUAAUACGUAGGGGGCAAGCGUUAUCCGGAUUUACUGGGUGUAAAGGGAGCGUAGACGGCGACGCAAGUCUGGAGUGAAAGCCCGGGGCCCAACCCCGGGACUGCUUUGGAAACUGUGCUGCUGGAGUGCAGGAGAGGUAAGUGGAAUUCCUAGUGUAGCGGUGAAAUGCGUAGAUAUUAGGAGGAACACCAGUGGCGAAGGCGGCUUACUGGACUGUAACUGACGUUGAGGCUCGAAAGCGUGGGGAGCAAACAGG